rnacentral:tRNA from 1 species
AAUGAAGUGCCUGAAAAAAGGAUUAUUUUGAUAGAAUAAAUUAUGAAAAAAAUUUCCUUCAUUA